ensembl:lncRNA
GCUUGCUGCGCAGGACCCCUUGAAAAAAAAUGAGGACCCGUCUUUUUUAGGUCACAAGAUUGCGCCAACCCUCACAUGGUCCUUAAAAAAAAAACCCUUCUGACACUGCAGUAGUGAAAAUCAAGCGCACUAUGGGCGGAAACUAGGAAGACACUUAAACAUAAAGAUGAAGUGCCUAAUUCAAGGUCACACAAUGUCGGGGAUGGACCUCCAGAUUUCCUUACUGUUACUUAUCCUGUAUUACAUGAGGGAAAUGAAACAAAAAGACUACAGCCCCACUCCCAGCUACUCCGUGAGGUGGUAGCUAGGUAAGACAUGGUCUUGUACCACAGUGGUUAAGAAUGUGACUUUGGAGCCAGCCUGCUAGGGGAUGAAUUCUGACUCAGCCAUUUACUAACUGGGUGACCUUAGUCUCACUCACUGUUGCCCAGGCUGGAGUGCAGUGGCGUGUUCUCGGCUCACCACAACCUCUGCUUCCCGGGUUCAAGCGAUUCUCCUGCCUCAGCCUUGCAAGUACCUGGGACUACAGGCACGUGCCACCAUUCCAGGCUAACUUUUGUAUUUUUAGUAGAGACUGGGUUUCACUAUGUUGGCCAGGCUGGUCUCGAACUUCUGACCUUGUGAUCUGCCCGCCUCGGCCUCCGAAAGUGCUGGGAUUACAGGCGUGAGCCACCGCGCCCCGCCUUAUGUAUUUUUUUCAGUUGGGUAGCUGUCCCAAAUUCAUUCAUUAAAGAAGGAGAAGUAAGAGCAGGAGCCUUUAAUCUGUUCUCCUCUUCCCUAAUUUGAAAGUGGCUUGUUAUUUUGAAUAUCACAUCCUCAGAAAUAGCAAAUCUCCAUCUCAGAGAAUGGAUUUAAUGUUUGGAUACAGCCAAAGGUCAUUUCAUUACCAAACCAUGGGGUGAAUAUACCAUGUAAAACAGUUUGGGAUCAGAACUCACAGUCUGAAUUGUAAGUUACGAGACUGCUGUCUCUCUGCUGCAGCUUCUUGGCUGGCUUUGAAGGGUCUUCCAAGGCAGAUCCUAACAAGGGGACUGCUUUGAAGGGCCAUUGUUCAUUUGGAAUGAUAAAGUCUAUGUUGUUCAAAAAACAAGUGCUUGUAGCAGGUAUUUUUUCACUCCAACCUGAGAAUAUUGCUAGGGUAUUGAUAAGGGGUACUGAAUGGUAAUAAACGUGUGCUCUAGCUCUGCCCUAAUCUGCUUAUUUCAGAACUCUAGUUUCAUUCAGUUUCUUGCCUCUGACUCAAAAUGGAGGGAGGGUGAUUCUUACAUAACAGAACAUACCUACAUACCCUUUUGGCAACAGCUACCUGCCAGAGAUGUUGAGGAAGAGUAGCCAACCUUUACACAACACAUAUUGUGUGCCAGUCAUGGUCCUAAGUAUAAUACCUUACAUGUAUAAACUUCUUAGGAGGUUGGUGCUCUGUACCGAAUUGAAUAGUAUCCCCCAAAAUUCAUGUUGCCCCAGAACCUAUGAAUGUGAUCUUACUUGGAAAUACGGUUCUUGCACACAUAAUCAGGUUGAGAUGAAGUUUAACUGGGAAGUCCUAGUCUAGUGACUGGUGUUGUCAUAAGAAGAGAGAGACACAGAGGGAAGAUGGCCACAUGAAGAUGGAGGCAGAGAUUGCAGUUAUGCUGCUGCCAGCUAAGGAAUGGCUGCAGCCCUCCAAGGAUUGCCAGCGACCACCAGAAACUAGAAGAGACAAGGAAGGAUUCUUCCCUAGGGACUUCAGAGGGAGCAUGGCCCUACUGACACCUGGAUUUCAGACUUGUAGCUUCCUGAACUGCGAGAGAAUAAAUUUCUGUUGUUU